rnacentral:rRNA from 1 species
GAUCCUGGCUCAGGAUGAACGCUGGCGGCGUGCUUAACACAUGCAAGUCGAGCGAAGCAAUCUAAGUGAAGUUUUUCGGAUGGAUCUUAAAUUGACUGAGCGGCGGACGGGUGAGUAACGCGUGGAUAACCUGCCUCGACACAGGGGGAUAACAGUUAGAAAUGACUGCUAAUACCGCAUAAGCGCACAGUACCGCAUGGUACAGUGUGAAAAACUCCGGUGGUGUGAGAUGG